AGUGAGAGACUCUUUCGUGGCUCUUGGAAUUGUUUUGGUAGUGAUUGAGUUGGAUUUGGACUUCUGAAAACUCAAAAUUCGGUUUCCUGAACAAUUUCCCGCUCUGCUGUAUUUUCUGCUGUCAUUGUGAUCGGGGCAGUGAUUUGGGCAAAUCACUGGUCCAAUCACUUUCUGCAAGUCUGUGCUAUCUCUGCUAGUGAUCUGGGCAGUUUCUGCGAGUGAUUUGGGCAAAUCACUGACCCAAUCACUUUUCCUGUUGCCUCCAGGUUUCUGCUUCAGCUUGAUUUGGGCAGUGAUUUGGGCAAAUCACUGAUCCAAUCACUUUUCUGUCAUUUUCUGCACUUUUUCUCCAUCUUUUCAAUUUCUUCCUUUUCUACAAAACCAUAACAAAAAC
rnacentral:lncRNA from 1 species